UGUUUUCCCAUCAGUGCCUGAAGAUCCUCCUCAGUCCCUCCCUGGGCAUUGACGUUGCAAAAUAUGAGGCUUGGAGUUAUUUAUUAUCAGCACCUUUCUCUCCAGGAAGCCAACAGAUUUUCUUUCCUCCAGAUGGCUCUCACAGGCUAGCCAAAGAGCGGACUGAGCCGACCAUCUGCUUCCUGUUGUUAUUUCAAGCUGGCUAGUCAGUCAGCAAGGCUGGUGAAGCCCAGGGCUCCAGCUGUCGGUCCAGGCUGCUCCUAUUUGGCCUUGUACCUUGUUGUACUCAGCAGGAUAGGAGAGGGGCCAUGCUGAAAUCUGUGUUUGACACUCAUGAGGUGGGUUGGUUUGCUUCCAAACCCAUGCCAGCCAGCUUCCCUGACGGCAAACAUAAAAGAUGCUUAAGAAUGAUGUUCCCACUGAACCGAUUCUCCUCACUCAUUACAGG
rnacentral:lncRNA from 1 species